AGGAGACCCAAUGCCUCCGCUGGGAAAUUUAAGUUCCACGGGCGAGUAAUAAGCGUGGAUGGUGAGGUAUGCGGCGGAGGGCUCUCGCCUAUUCCUAAAUAAUUAAAAAUGAAAAAAGCAAAGUAAAAAGAACAAAAGCACGCCGUCGAGGAAAAGGAAAGGAAGUGAAAGUGGUUCAUAUUUACCUGCUCAUCGUUCCAACUUUCUCACCCUCUCGCUUAAUGGGCAUCUACGGCUGUAAUCCAUUUAUCCCAGGGGAGGAAAUCUGUUGAACUUGAUGGGACUUACAGAGCACGCCUAACCAUGCCUGCUCAGAAGUAAUUCAAGGGGUCUUACUCCCCGGUAAGGGGUUAGGAUUGCUGCACUCUUACUUCUAAAUAGGCACGUACUGUACAGGAUCAAACUUAACUUAAUGAAUUGCAGUCUGAGGCUGCUCGUUAGUUUUUGGUUUAUUAGGAUUAGAAAACGUGGGGCUGUGGGUUGAUUUGUAGAACACAGCCUAUGAUGCAUCCCGGCCUCAGUUUAAUAUAUUUCUUCUCAGAAUACUCCCUUAUAUCUUGAGUGUGUGUGUGCUCCUCGCCUUUAUGACAGUUUUUGCCUAUGGGGGGGUAUUUGUUUAUUUAUAUCAUAUUAGAUUUAUUAGUCGCUUUUACCCCUAAGGUGAAUUUAAAGUGACUUACAGAAAGAAGCUUUUAAAACAGGUAUGAAAGCAAGAGUAAAAACAACCCGAAAGGCUCACCAAUAGUGUGUAUAGAAGAGCAGGGCCAACUCAUAGAAUCAUAGAAUUGUAGAGUUGGAAAGGACACUGACGGCUAUCCAUUCCAACCCCCUGCAGUGCAGAAAUCUUAAUUAGAUUGUACAUGACAGAUGAUCAUUCAACCUCUGCUUAAAAACCUCCACAGAAGGCGAGUCCACCACCUCUUGUGGUAGCCUGUUCCAGUGUUGAGCAGCUCUUGCUGACCAAAAAGUAAUGAGCAGAAAAGUAGCGUCCCAAAGCCUGGGUGAAUAAAACUGUUUUUGCUUGCCCCCUAUUGAGAAUGCUGGGGAGAGCUUUCUGAGAAGGCUUGUUCUCACAUCACCACAUUUCGCACCUCCCUCAGAAAGGGCACAGAAGGGACUCCGGUGAUGAUCAUGAGGUCCCGGUUGGUUCAUGUGCAGAGAGGCAGUCCUUGAGAUAUGGGGUCAUGAGUCACCUAAAGCUCCCCUUUGAGUUAGCACAUGCGAUCACGCUGUAAAGCACCAUAUAAAUGCCAAGUACAGUACUUACAUGUUUACAAUAAAUAUCAUUGUCAAUAUUACUGAAUCCUCAGCAGAAUAUAUCAAAGGUGGCAUUACUGCAGCAUCUAGUGUAAUGCUUCAGAUUUCUCUCUGUACUUCUGAGCUCAAAAAUGCCCUAGAAUUAAUUUGCAAAGCUAAUUUGUCUUCUCCUACAACUUGCCUCCAUUCAAAAUGUUUCAUGAGAAUUCAGCAUUAUCUUCCUAUAUUAUGGAUGUGACUCAUGCCAUACACUGCAGGAUUAUAGAUUUAUUUCCCAGGAUGAUAACCUUAACAGGAGGGGGGAAAUGCGGCAUUUGGAAGCAGUGAAUCACUCGAGUACAACUUCCUUUCUUCUUUUUCCUUGCCUAUAGCUGUUACAAAACUGUUUUCUCAGUUUCAAUAUCUUCCUUUGCCUGCGUGCUGCUAAGUCUCCCUACAGGGGAAAAGAAGGAUAGCAAUGGAAUGUGACAGCAAUAAGAAUAAAGUCAAGGUAACUGGAAUCUUGGCUGAAUUAAAUACAGUACAGGGGUGAGCAGCUGUUGCCUAUUGCGUUCCUAAAGGUGUUGACACAUUACAGUCAACAAGUGUAUGCUCUGUGUACCCAUGUACACAGAAAGUGUACAUUCCUUCACACAAAUACUUGUACUUCUGUAGAGACAGCUUGUACCUGUAUUCAGUACUGUAUACCAUGUGAACAAACCUCUUGUUGUUCUGUUCUCUUUACGCUCCUCCUGAUUAACUGAGUUUUUUUUAAAAAAAUUAAUUACAGAACAGGAGCAUACACAGUUUCCCAAUGCUUUCCAGCUCAUUUGCAUCUCCCCCCCCCCCCAUUUGCAAUCAUAGCCCAAAACGCUGUUCACAGUUUUAGUAAAAGACAGUGGCGCUACAGGAAGAUGCAAAGGGACAAAUGCUUUGAAUGGAAAUCAGGCUUUCUGAAGCUUGCUAUUUGCAUUUCAUUUGGUGUUUCAGUCAGGACCAUGGCAGGGAGGGGAGUUGAUAGUGAAUAGCAGGUGCGGAAAGCCCUGGGGCUUCUGCAAAGGGCCCUGGAUCUCAAGCUCAACUUCCCCAUCCCACCCCCAUGAUCUCAAGGUUACUUAGGCUUCCCUGUAGCAACUGUUUACAGAAUGCCCUUCCCCACAUAACCAAGCACUGUAAAUUGCAUCCAUGUAAUUGAUACCACAAGUGGGACGCGGGUGGCGCUGUGGGUUAAACCACAGAGCCUAGGACUUGCUGAUCAGAAGGUCGGCGGAAUCCCCAUGACGGGGUGAGCUCCCGUUGCUCAGUCCCUGCUCCUGCCAACCUAACAGUACAAAAGCACGUCAAAGUGCAAGUAGAUAAAUAGGUACCGCUACGGCGGGAAGGUAAAAGGUGUUUCCAUGCGUUGCUCUGGUUCACCAGAAGCGGCUUAGUCAUGCUUGCCACAUGACCCAGAAGCUGUCUGCGGACAAACACCAGCUCCCUUGGCCAAUAAAGCGAGAUGAGCUCCGCAACCCCAGAGUCGGCCACGACUGGACCUAAUGGUCAGGGGUCCCUCUACCUUUAAUUGAUACCACACCUAGUUUGGCCUGGGAGAUUAAAUUUGGCACCUUCCACAUGUGCAGCCUGUGCUCAUUCGCUCGGCUGCAGACCUUCCCUUGAGGAAAAUACUGCCGUAGCUGCAGGUGUGGAAGUUUUCUCCUCUCCUCUGUGUUUUCAGGCUCUUGAGCACAAUGUUCUUAAUGGCCAUUUAUUUUUCGCAGUCUGUUCCUUCCCUGUACUUUACAGAUGUUGUCUGACACCAUUAGUGAGCUACCAAGCUGUUAUCUCAGGCUUUUGCGCAUCUGAAUCUUAAUGUUCGGUCGGUUUGCGUUUUGAGAAAGAAAUUGCUUCUCUCACCACCACCACACCUUCUUCGAAAGAAGGCUUGCCUGUUAAUGGGUGAUCCAUCACUGUAAUUAGAUAAUGGCUGCCUGAGAUUUUUAUAAGCACAAUCCGCUACAUCAGCUGCAUAAAAGCAAGCGUGUAUCCCUUUUAAAGGAGCACUUUUUGUUUCCUGCAGGGAAUCUAGUCCAAGUUCUGCAGCUCCCCUAUUCAUUUAACACCUUGUAGAAACUGGUAAUUGCUAGCGCAUAAAUCACUUGGGCUGCUGGGCAGAACAAAAUCAAUCAGUAUUUGAAAAUGCCUGCUCUGGUUUGCUCUUUACUCAAGCAAAGUAUCCAGUGACCUUGUGGCAGUCAGAAUCAUUCAGUGGCCUUGCGAUUGAUGCAGCAAUCCUGACAUCAUCUGUUUGGGGGGAAUUUCACAGCUUCAUGGAGGGUUUCCCUAUUAAUUGCGGUGUAAUUGCUCACAGCAGGGAUGGAGGAUCCCUGUUCUUCCAGAUAUUGUUGGACUCCUGCUCCCAUCAACCCCAGGCAGCAUUGUCAAUAGUGAGGGAUGAUGGGAGUUGUAGGUGAGCAACAUCUAAGACACCCAUGGGUUCCUUACUCCUGCCAGACAGGAAUUCUGGCAAUCCUUUUGAACUAGUGGAAUCCUCAUCAGAUGAUGGAAAGCAUGCUCUUUCGGCUUACCACAUCCCGCAGCAUCCUCUUAAAUCAAUUUACUGUAUUGUCAUGUGUUUGUUUUAAAUAUCUUGCAGCGUCACAGGGAGCCCCUCUCUCCUUUGUUUCUUUAACUCCCUGAGUAUCACCUUUGUUGGCAAGCAUGAGCUAAAAAAAGGCUGCCCACUUUCUAGCCCCUUCCCAGUGGCAUCCCUGGUACCCAGAACACUAAAGCAACGCAGGAUGGAAGAGGUCAUCAGGUGUGCAAAUGGACAAACCUUUGACUUUAUAUCUUUGAACUGAUGCUGUUGAUCUUCACUUGUAUAGUUCAUGACAGGUUGGUUUUGAGGGUUCCUCCUCCCCAAACUAGAGCCUCUAAGAAACAUUUCUGGCUAUAGUUUUGUGCAUAUGAAUUGCAUUAUUUCAGAAGCAUCUUAUGGUUGAUUUACUGUAGGUUAGGAGUUCAUCUUUGGUUCCAGUCGUACAUGCAGAGGUUGAGCUGAGGUGGUGGGGGGAGUUCCACAAAUCCUUAAAUUGUUUUGAAGUGCUAUGUCUACAUAUUGUAAUGGGUUGCCUGCUUGGGGGAGGAGGAAGAAAAGUAGAAACUACAUCAUAUAACCAGCAAUCCCCGCCAAAGUGAGAAAAGUAUUGUUGUUUCUUCUUCUUCUUCUUCUUCUUCUUCUUCUUCUUCUUCUUCUUCUUCUUCUUCUUCUUCUGUCCUUGGUCUGAGGUGUGGCAAUCAUUUCAGCCCUUGUCAGUUAAUCUUAAAAGCAAUUAAUGCUUGCAUUUCAUCCCAUGGUGUUAGGCUGCUGGCAAACUGGACCGAUCAUAGGAAGCCAUUCUAAUGAUGAAAGGAUUGUACUGAGUAUCUGUAAUAAAAUAUAGACACUAGCAUGUCCCUAGAUUAAACCGGGGAUUCCCAUUAUUCAUGAAGAUGUGUGGUUCACAUUCACAAAUUACUGUGAAAAAUGAAAAGAAAAUUGUAUGCAACUUUAUGUGAAAAAUUGGUGCUGUGUAUCCCAGUGGGGCUCAGAUACUGCUAUGAUCCUGGGAAUCUCUAGAAUUUAGCUGAGGUCCUUUGCAUACCAGCAUCCUUCACUACUGCUGAGGCAUUGAUAUUCUGCAAUCGACGGGGAGUGCACUUAUAACUCUGGUUCCACAUAGCACAAAACAGCAAACUCAGCAGAUGGCAUGGACUGUAGGUCAAAACAGGGCUACAGAAAGACAAGCGGGGGUACCAGCAUGCUAGGGGGAGUCCCAAGGUUUUCCCUUAAGGAAAAAGUUACAUACACACACAAAAACAGCCUGAUGACGACAACAACGUCUUACAUUUCCAUCCUAUCCUUCCUCCGUAAGGAGUCCAACAAAGCAGCAAAACAAUACAAUUAAAAAAAAAAAUAAGUAAAGCAUUUAAAACCAUGGAAAACAGCUAACAACAUUUAAAGUACAGGCUUGGUUUCUGGUGGGGUGGCAGGGAAUGGAACCUUCUGGAAGAAGGGCAUGGCUGACUGGCACACUGGCUUCAUGCUGCAACAUUGUGUUGCAAGCUUCGCUUGGUGUGCUACCUUCCUGAUUGCACUCUUGCAAUCUCUCCACCCCACCCACCCAACAAGUCUGUAAUGAUGUUUUCACUUGGUCGAAUGGGACUUACUUACAAUGCAUAGGAUUGCUGCCUUCAAUCAGCAAAAGUCUCCCCAAUCAGUGUGAUUUAACGCAGCUCCUGAGACUCAUGACAUUAUCAAAAACGGCUUUUAACAAUUUCCUGAACUUCCACCCAUUCAGUCAUUUAAUUACUCCCAAGCCUCAUCAGUUUCCCAUUCUUUUUAUGUUGCAGGUGUGCAUUUCAGAGCACUGGAGGCCACGGACCUUGUCAUCGCAGAGAUCCGCAGGUUCCUGACAUAUGUGUCACACUGCAAAUGUUAACGAAGAUAACGAAGAUAACGAAGAUAACUUGCAAAAGAUUACUUGCAAAAAACUCUUCGUUUGAAUGUCUGAACUGUACUGUCUGUACAGUACCUAAUUUAUUAUAUAAGGGCGUCUGUUGUUGUUGUGGCAACAAUACCAUCAAUCUCCCAGAGGUUUUCGACCUUUUUGAGUGACCAACUACAUUCUGUCUGUGGCACCCCUGUGGGACUCAGGAGCCCAGUUAUAUCACCCCUUGCCUGCAGAGCUGGCAGGCUUUCAUCCUUUUACGAACACCCUCCCUCUUAGUCUCCUCUCCCCUCUCCUUGGGAAUCCUCUGAGCAGCCACUGCUGCCACACCUGGUCUUUGAGCUGCCCACUCUGGUCCCAAGGAGAGGUUCCUCCUCAUACUUAUCCAUAGGGGACUGGAAAGAGGAUGCCUCCAGCCCUAGGGGCCUGACGGCAGCAGCAGACACUGCCAGGCCUGCAUGGUGGAAAGUCUCCCCUUCAGCAAUGGACACUUGGCUCCCAGGCAGGCCUUGCACACAGCAAGCACAAGAAAGGCCAGCACAGUGCCUACCUGCCCACUUAGCCUCCCACUAGUUUAUCCUCUCCCAACAGCAAGGACUGGCAGACUGGCUGGCUGGCUGGCUGGGCUCCCUCACCCACUUGCCUCACCCACCCACUCUGAGGCUGCCUCAGCUCCUGGCAACCAGCACCCCCUGGCCAGCCC
rnacentral:lncRNA from 1 species